CCACAGCCAUUUCACCCUACAGCCCAAGACAGGUAGCUCAUUGAAGCUAUGCAGGGCAGAGUCUGGUUAGUACCUGUAUUGGAGAUCACAUUGAAAAAUUAGGUUGCUGUUUGGU
rnacentral:rRNA from 1 species